rnacentral:rRNA from 1 species
UGGGGAAUUUUGCGCAAUGGGCGAAAGCCUGACGCAGCGACGCCGCGUGGGUGACGAAGGCCUUCGGGUCGUAAAGCCCUGUGGGGAGGAACGAACCGGCUUCCGGAUAAUACCCGGGGGCCCUGACGGUACCUUUUUAGCAAGCACCGGCUAACUCUGUGCCAGCAGCCGCGGUAAGACAGAGGGUGCAAACGUUGCUCGGAAUUACUGGGCGUAAAGCGCGUGUAGGUGGUCUGGUAAGUCGGGUGUGAAAGCCCGGGGCUCAACUCCGGAAGUGCAUUCGAAACUGCCAGGCUAGAGUACUGAAGAGGAUCGCGGAAUUCCCGGUGUAGAGGUGAAAUUCGUAGAUAUCGGGAGGAACACCAGUGGCGAAGGCGGCGAUCUGGGCAGAUACUGACACUGAGACGCGAAAGCGUGGGGAGCAAACAGG